CACGUAGGGCGGCAAGCGUUGUCCGGAAUUAUUGGGCGUAAAGAGCUCGUAGGCGGUCUGUUGCGUCCGCUGUGAAAACUCGGGGGCUUAACCCCGAGCCUGCAGUGGAUACGGGCAGACUAGAGGUAGGUAGGGGAGAAUGGAAUUCCCGGUGUAGCGGUGAAAUGCGCAGAUAUCGGGAGGAACACCGGUGGCGAAGGCGGUUCUCUGGGCCUUACCUGACGCUGAGGAGCGAAAGCGUGGGGAGCGAAACAGGG
rnacentral:rRNA from 1 species